CUACGGGUGGCAGCAGUGGGGAAUAUUGGACAAUGGGGGAAACCCUGAUCCAGCAAUGCCGCGUGUGUGAAGAAGGCCUGCGGGUUGUAAAGCACUUUCGGUUGGGAGGACUGCUUCUAGCACUAAUAUUGUUGGAAGUUGACGUUACCUUCAGAAGAAGCACCGGCUAACUCCGUGCCAGCAGCCGCGGUAAUAGGGAGGGUGCAAGCGUUAAUCGGAAUUACUGGGCGUAAAGCGCGCGUAGGCGGCUAGAUCAGUCGGGUGUGAAAGCCCCGGGCUUAACCUGGGAACUGCUUCCGAUACUGUCUAGCUUGAGUACAGGAGAGGAGAGUGGAAUUCCACAUGUAGCGGUGAAAUGCGUAGAUAUGUGGAGGAACACCAAUGGCGAAGGCAGCUCUCUGGCCUGAUACUGACGCUGAGGUGCGAAAGCGUGGGGAGCAAACAGGAUUAGAUACCCUCGUAGUC
rnacentral:rRNA from 1 species